rnacentral:rRNA from 1 species
GAUGAACGCUAGCUACAGGCUUAACACAUGCAAGUCGAGGGGCAGCGCAGUGUAGCAAUACAUGGGCGGCGACCGGCGCACGGGUGCGUAACGCGUAUCCAACCUUCCCGUUACUCAGGGAUAGCCUUCCGAAAAGGGAGAUUAAUACCUGAUGGUGUUCAAAUUCCGCAUGUUAUUUGAACUAAAGAUUUAUCGGUAACGGAUGGGGAUGCGUGACAUUAGAUAGUAGGCGGGGUAACGGCCCACCUAGUCUACGAUGGUUAGGGGUUCUGAGAGGAAGGUCCCCCACACUGGAACUGAGACACGGUCCAGACUCCUACGGGAGGCAGCAGUGAGGAAUAUUGGUCAAUGGGCGAGAGCCUGAACCAGCCAAGUAGCGUGAAGGAAGACUGCCCUAUGGGUUGUAAACUUCUUUUGUUCGGGAAUAAAGUGCAGUAUGUAUACUGUUUUGUAUGUACCGUUCGAAUAAGCAUCGGCUAAUUCCGUG